UCACCAUCUAAAUGCAGAAGCAAGAUCAAGAACACGGAAUAACCACAGAGGUGCCUCUACUGAAGAGCAAAUGGUAGGAAAAUUGAGUAUAGUAUGUAUCAUCUUUGGUUCAAAAGCAUCUUAUUCCGUGUGAAGAAGUUAUUCUUCCAUCAUUCCUCCUCUCCAACUUCUUGUAAAUCAGAUUCAAAUUCUUCUUAAUGCCAUACUCAAAGCAGCUGUGUUUGCAUGACGACCCUUUUGCAAUAUGUUAAUAACUAAAUGCAAGAAAUCUGUACAAAUUCCAAAACUAAUGGUUAGGCAAUACUUUUUUGGGGGAUAAUUUAUAAUUACUUUGAAAAAUGUAAAAUUACAUUUUAAUAAUUAACAAAAUUAGGACUCC
rnacentral:lncRNA from 1 species